GGGGCGCAGAGGGGAACGGCGGCUCCAGGUGAAUUAAUAUCUCACUUGUCGCUGGCGGGUUCUGGCUCUUUCUUCCAUUAUUUCCUGACUUGAAGGAGCCACUGCCUUCCCAGUCACCGUCCCCAUUCUCAGUCUGGGACCUGCGCAGUGUCACUCUGGGACAGCUGGUGCCCAGCGACAGGCCCCGCUCCUAAGAACAGCCCCAGAGCAGCCCCAGAGCAGCCUUGGAACCGAGCUUCCCCGGGGGCCUGGGGACCCGGGGUCCCAGUGUGUCACCCCCCUGCAGGGCCCUGGGCAAGCCGUGGGCUCUCUAAGCCCGACUUCCUCGUCCAUCUGAUGGAGCUUAAGCACCGUCACCUGCUCCCUAAACCAGGGCGGCGGUGCUCCUGAUGAUACUGUGGGGAACAGACGUCCAACCAAAGACCGGGAUGCAAAGGCACACGGCAGCUUGCUCUGUGAUUGUGCCAAACUGGAAGUCAACAGUGCUUGGAGAUACGACAAGAGGGAGGACCUGCAGCCCGGGGCGGCAGACAUGCUGGCCUACACGCACAUCCUCCUGGAGGCAGCCCCCAGCCACCUGGCCCUCUACAGGGACACACACCGUGUCCCCAGCAACUGGAGAGUUAUUUGUCAUAGUCCCUACAUCGGAAUACUACUCGGCAGUGAAAAGAACCAAACAUCCCCGAAAGCAUGGAUGAGCCUCAAAAACAUUCUUCUAAGUGAAUCAAGGGGACCCCAAGAGGCUGAAUGCUGGAUGAUUCCAUCCCAUGACACUGAAAAAGGCCAAGCAAUAGGCAGGUCUAGAGAUCAAACCAGUGGGUGCCAGGAGCUGGGGUUAGGGGACAGGGCUCACUGCAGAGGGGUACAGGGAGAUUUUGGGGGGCGAAGUGUCGCGUAUCUUGAGUGUUGUGGUGGGAACCCGGGUCCGUGUGUCUUUCCGGACUGGCUCAGCUGCAUGCUCUGAAAAGGUGAGUGUGACCGGGUGGAAAUCAGAUCUCGGAAAAUCCUACCUUAAAAAUGAUGCGCCACCC